rnacentral:rRNA from 1 species
UACGUAGGGGGCAAGCGUUGUCCGGAAUUACUGGGCGUAAAGCGUGCGCAGGCGGUUUGCUAAGACAGGUGUGAAAUCCCCGGGCUUAACCUGGGAACUGCGCUUGUGACUGGCAGGCUAGAGUACGGUAGAGGGGGGUGGAAUUCCUGGUGUAGCAGUGAAAUGCGUAGAUAUCGGGAGGAACACCAGUGGCGAAGGCGGGUAACUGGACUGCAACUGACGCUGAGGCGCGAAAGUGUGGGGAGCAAACAGGAUUAGAUACCCCGGUAGUCCCUGA